UAGGGACGAUAGUUCAGUUGGUAGAGCAUGAGACUCAUAACCCCAGGGUUGUGGGUUCUAGCCCCACGUAGGGCAAAA
rnacentral:tRNA from 1 species